rnacentral:rRNA from 1 species
ACACGUAGGGGGCGAGCGUUAUCCGGAUUCAUUGGGCGUAAAGCGCGCGCAGGCGGCGCGCCAAGCGGGACCUCUAAUCUGGGGGCUCAACCCCCAGCCGGGUCCCGAACUGGCGCGCUCGUGUCCGGUAGGGGAGGUCGGAAUUCCCGGUGUAGCGGUGGAAUGCGCAGAUAUCGGGAGGAACACCGAUGGCGAAGGCAGACCUCUGGGCGGCGACAGACGCUGAGGCGCGAAAGCUAGGGGAGCGAACAGGAUUAGAUACCCUGGUAGUCCUAGCCGUAAACGAUGAUAGCUAGGUGUGGGGGGACCGCCCCUCCGGGCCGCAGCCAACGCAUUAAGCUAUCCGCCUGGGGAGUACGGCCGCAAGGCUAAAACUCAAAGGAAUUGACGGGG